CUAUUUACUACUCACUAACAUUUCGAGGCUCUGGUUUAAAAGCUACAAUGAUUGAAGCCUCAGUGUGGACACAGAGCACAAUGGAACUGCUGGCAGAUACCCAAGAGGCUGCCCGUCUCCUGAUGACAGCGAUCCAGACAGUUACAGCCCUUGGGCAAUGCAAAAUGUUCAUCGUGGAAGGUGCAAGGAAGACUCAGAGCUUUCUGAUACAUUGACCUAAAACCUGAAAUGCUCCUGCAGAGAAAUUAAUGCACUGAAGUCCAACAGUGGAAGAACAGCAUGACAUGGACCACAGCCCUGUGACAUUACAAGCGUGUAUUACAGCUGCCAGAUGGGCUCAGCUGACUCAUGCUCAGGAUCACUCCGACCAGCAGAUGUGAGGGAAGGAUGGAAUUUUGCCCAUGGUGUUAUUUUCUGCUUUCUUUCUGUACAACAGGAAAUAAUUUGCCUGCUGAAUGGGUCCAGUGUAUCUUUCCACGUCCAUUUCUUGACAAAUGAAGGACUCUCAGGCACCAGCAGCACCCCCAUGUUCUUUGCUUACGGUCACUACCAACCUGAAGAACCAGUCUUUUACAUCCUCUUAACAUUAUAGAAACAACAACAAAAGCCCUAAACUUUAAGUCUUUGCGCCAGCCCUAAAGCACACAGGCAUAACACAAGACCUAUGAUAGCCAAGAAGUCAGGCUCCAGCUACAGUUCUAAGAAGCACUGAGCUAUUUUUAACUCUUUAUUAUAAAGCCCUAUGGGGAUAGAUUCAUAGCGUUAUUUAUUAUCAUUAUUUUUAUUGUUAUUGGGAGAACACUAUUUUAAGGGAAAAAAGAAGCAUGACAAAUGAAGACCACGAUUUCUUAGGAUACCAGAAGUUCCCACUUCUUUAUGUAUCCUGUAAAUUAGUGCUCAUUUUCCGACAGAGGAAAAAAAACAACAACAAAAAAACUGGGGCUUACAUUUUGCCAUUAUGCUAAUUAUGUCCACUUAUCCAGUAAUUAAAUUACACACAAACUUCAGGACAAACAGAAGUUUGCAUAAUGGUCAUAAAUCACAAGGCAGAAGAGUAUCUGGAACGUUUCAAAACACCUAAAGGAAUGAAUGGACACUCGAAGCUAUUCCAUAUUAUGCAUCAAAUGAUAACGACCGAAUGUCCUACUUGCUAUGAAUAUCUUGAACUGUGAUUUCUAUGUGAGAUGCUCUUUGCAGAUUGAACCAAACUCUGAGAACUGCAUUUUUGUGCUUAACAUCUAAAAUCUCCAUUUCUUCCCCACCUUUCAGAGAUUUUAUUGUGAUGAAUGUUAUUGGACUCUACGUUUAUGAUAGACAACACUAGAUUUGUGUAGGUUUUCAUUAGCAGUUACAUCAAUAGAAAUAUAUACUUAGCAUGGAAAAGCACAGCCAGCAACUAACCCAACUUCUUCCAUGUACCUUGAGCUGAAAGGUUUCGGGCACAUUAUGUAAGAUAUAAUCCCAUACCAACUAUUGAUGCCAACUUCACUAUAGUCACCUUUUUCCACUACUAAUGCUUUUCUCACAUGAUUUCCUGCCUGCAAAGGAACUGUGGGAAAUCAGAGGGUCCAAAAGAGAGGUAUAGGACACUCCAAGACCUAGACACAAAGAGCUAGAUGAGAAAGACAACUGUUUGUAAGGCAAAGAAUAAACUUCAUAAUUAUUAGCUCCCCUUCACACCCAGUCCUGGUCAAUUAACAAAAGAAACUUAAAAAAAAAUUAAGUAUAAAUAAUGUUUUUGAAGUUUUAUAGUGAUCAUAAUUCCUUUCAGAGCAAACAUCAAUUCAAACCAUAAAUUGCACACUGAAAAUUUCUAGAGCUCUAAAAAAACAGGGAAGAUAAUUACUUUGAACAAGGCCUCAAAAGUGGAUAUAUGUGAUAUUGAUGCAGAAUUAUCAAUUCAGUUGGGGUAUUACAAAACUUGCAAGGAAAAAUUAUCUCCUGAAUGUCUUACAUUACCAAAAUUGUAUCCCCAUGGAUUUCUUUUUAAGGCUUUUUAUGUUCUAUAUUGUUAAUUUUCCCGAAGAAAAAAAAGGUUUAAUUCAGUGUGCGUAUCUACUUAGAAUUCAAGAUUAAUAAACAUUAUUGAUUUACUGCGCUUUGCAGCUUAUAGUAUUCUUAAUGUCUUAAAAAGCUUAAACAUAAUUCUAUGUACUGAAUGACUUAUGCAAAUAUUGCAUUAGGAUUUAGUUUCUAAGCUACUCAAAUUUAAAAGACUAAGAUAUUAUUAUGCUACUACUGUCAACGCGUUCAUUCUUCAAAAGAAAUAAUACAAAAGCAUUUCCACUCAACCAACCUGGUGUCUAAAGAUCACCAUCUCACAAAAAGCAAGGAGCUCAGCACAGGGAUAGAAAAUAAGCUUUCACUAAUCACAGUCAGAGAAUUAUGGACAUUAAUCACAGGAACCAGGCUUAAGUUUAUUGGCAGCCAACAAGAUGAAAGACAAGAAUAGUUAAGGUGGGCUUAUUUACCUACAUGACUUUCCAUGAGGAAGGUAAAGUAGAAAGAAAAAUUGGCAAAGCAAAGCAAAAAAGGACAAAGCAUCUCAUCCCCACAGGUAACUUGCACAGAAGACAAGGGAAAUCACACUCGAGGACACAAGUGGUUCCACAGUUGCACGAGAAAGGUUUUCCCCAUGCGCUUGAGGACUGACAUGUAAGGAAGUUUGAAAGAUUUACAGGAGAGGUGGCAGAUCCUGUGAACUCAAGCGUGAUCUACACCUGAAAAGUGAGAUUUAAAAAGACAACAUUUGAGUAAAGGGAAAUUGGUAUCUCAUGAAAGAAGACAAAAGCUAAAGAAGGAUCGAACUUAAGAAGAUACACAUGCGUAUUACAAAUAAGAUCGUAUUAUAAACCCUACAAAAGUUGAAGUAUAAGAAGUUGAGUACUUGGCUAAGUUCUGAUGAAGGAAAAUUGUUCAAUUUCAGUGCAGUAAUAUUCCCACGUUCUCCUACACAUAUAAUUAAAAGGGGAAAAAAAGGGGAAAAAUAACUGCACUGGAAGCAAGAGUAAUAAGGAAGGUUGUUAAGCAUCACCUACAGAGAUAGAUAGUCAGAGGUCAAAGCAGCAGCAUCUCAGGAAGUUAUUACCACCAUAUUUCCUAGCUACUGAUGUUCAUUUAGAUUCAGACCAUUUUGCUAACUCUGAAGAAAUCCAGAUUCUGCCUCCUCUCCUUCUGUGACUCUGUCUUCUCUCAAACAUCUACAGUGUCCUUCAGUUGACUGCUUGCUUCUCAUUGCCCUUCAUUGCCUUUCAUGCAAUCCAACCCAAACACCACAAUGACUUCUAGGCAUGAAGAAUAAAC
ensembl:lncRNA